rnacentral:lncRNA from 1 species
UGGCAAUGGCGGUGUGCAUGUCUAGGAUUGGAUCCGAAGGGAGCUUGGUACUUAAGUAGUCCGAUAGACUCACCUCCUCUUUUCCGGUUUCCUACCUGGUGCACAGCUUCCAUUCACUUUAACCUAUAAUGAAAUUAUCUUUUAAAACACUAAGUAGGUUUUUCUGGAUAAACAAUAUAAAAUGUUUUGAACGCUUCGAUGUGGCAUGUCGGAUCCGGCCAUAAUGUUUGGGCCGGGUUUGGGGUGUUACACGCGCCAGUUACCUCCGCCACGUUGCCUCCAUACCUACAAAAGAAGACAAACAAAGGACAAACACAACAGCAAAUACAAAAAAAUAUAUAGAAAAAAUUGCAUUUUUUGAUUUUAUUUUGAUUUUCCUUUUCGGCUAUAAAGCCAAAAGAUUUCAUCAUCUGUAAAGGUUACGCACAUUGAGAGAUGCAUAUUGAAAAGAAAAAUUCAAAAGCAAUUUAAAAGGUGAUUUUUGUUUUGAGUCUCUAGAUCUUUUGCGUUUUUUAUCUGCUUCAUUCGUUUUUUAUUUGCAUUUAAAAACAAUAAAGGAAGGGGAGUGCUUACCUUCGUGAAUAGGCCAUCGGAAUCUUCAUCUCCUUUGUCGAAAUCAAAGGUCAAAAUGAGAUUUCAAGGGCUGAGAUUGGUAAUCUUUGAACCAAGGUUCUAAGUGUGGUGCGCGCAUGUCAAUAACUACCUAUUAUAGUGGUGGCGAUUGAUUUGCUCAAAGUUUUGGGGUUAGCCGAAUGGGGUAAUGGCUUUUAGAUUUUUUUUACUCUGUUUUUUAAAAAAGGGAAGGAAAUGGUGGCUUUGCUUCAUUAGGGUUUCUU